GGGGCUAUAGCUCAGCUGGGAGAGCGCUUGCAUGGCAUGCAAGAGGCCGACGGUUCGAUCCCGUCUAGCUCCA
rnacentral:tRNA from 1 species